GGAAGUAAAAGUCAUAACAAGGUUUCCGUAGGUGAACCUGCGGAAGGAUCAUUAUUGUAUAACCGAGGUGCGAGGGCUGUCGCUGACCCGAAAGGUCGUGCACGCCCGAGUGCCCUCACACACAUCCAUCUCACCCCUAUGUGCACCACCGCGUGGGUCCCCCUUUGGCUUGUUCGGAGGGGGGCUUACGUUUUCACACAAACUUUGUAUGCAGUGUAGAAUGUAUUUUUUGUUUUUGCGAUCACGCAAUCAAUACAACUUUCAACAACGGAUCCCUUGGCUCUC
rnacentral:misc_RNA from 1 species